rnacentral:tRNA from 1 species
GGGCCCCUGGUCUAGCGGCUAUGACGUUACCUUCACACGGCAGAGGUCCUGGGUUCAAUUCCCAGGGGGCCCA